rnacentral:rRNA from 1 species
CGCCUGUUUAUCAAAAACAUGUCUUUAUGAAAAUUUAUGUAAAGUCUAGCCUGCCCAGUGAUGUUUAAGUUUAACGGCCGCGGUAGUAUGACCGUGCUAAGGUAGCAUAAUAAUUUGUCCUUUAAUUGGGGACUGGUAUGAACGGUUGAACAAGAAAUUAACUGUCUCUAUUGCAAACUUUGAAUUUUACAUUUAAGUGAAAAGGCUUAAAUAAUAUGGGGGGACGAUAAGACCCUAUAAAUCUUUAUGUUUUAACUAAUAAAUUUUAGAGAUUAGUUAAAUAUUUAGUGUUAUUAAGUUAAAAUAUUUUGUUGGGGCGACAGGAGUACAAUAAGUAACUGCUUUGUUUAUAAACUAAUUAUUUUUAUUAUGGAAAUUGUUAUUGAUCCUCUUUUGGAGAAAUCAGAAUAAGUUACUUUAGGGAUAACAGCGUAAUCUUUUUUGAGAGUCCAUAUCGAAAAAAUGGUUUGCGACCUCGAUGUUGAAUUAAAGAUCCUUGGUGGCGUAGGGGCUACUAGAGGAGGUCUGUUCGACCUUUAAAUCUUUACGUGAUCUGAGUUCAGACCG